GACGUAGGGCGCGAGCGUUGUCCGGAUUUAUUGGGCGUAAAGAGCUCGUAGGCGGUUUGUCGCGUCUGCCGUGAAAGUCCGGGGCUCAACUCCGGAUCUGCGGUGGGUACGGGCAGACUAGAGUGAUGUAGGGGAGACUGGAAUUCCUGGUGUAGCGGUGAAAUGCGCAGAUAUCAGGAGGAACACCGAUGGCGAAGGCAGGUCUCUGGGCAUUAACUGACGCUGAGGAGUGAAAGCAUGGGGAGCGAACAGG
rnacentral:rRNA from 1 species